AGCGAACGCUGGCGGCAGGCUUAACACAUGCAAGUCGAACGCCCGUAGCAAUACGGGAGUGGCAGACGGGUGAGUAACGCGUGGGAACAUGCCCUUUGGUUCGGAAUAACUCAGGGAAACUUGAGCUAAUACCGGAUAAGCCCGAGAGGGGAAAGAUUUAUCGCCGAAGGAUUGGCUCGCGUCCGAUUAGCUAGUUGGUGAGGUAAUGGCUCACCAAGGCGACGAUCGGUAGCUGGUCUGAGAGGAUGAUCAGCCACACUGGGACUGAGACACGGCCCAGACUCCUACGGGAGGCAGCAGUGGGGAAUAUUGGACAAUGGGGGCAACCCUGAUCCAGCCAUGCCGCGUGAGUGAUGAAGGCCCUAGGGUUGUAAAGCUCUUUCGGCGGGGACGAUAAUGACGGUACCCGCAGAAGAAGCCCCGGCUAACUUCGUGCCAGCAGCCGCCGUAACAC
rnacentral:rRNA from 1 species